CUUCCACCUGGGGCAUGCAGGCUGGCUGACUGGCUGAUUGACUUCCACCUGGGGCAUGCAGGUUGGCUGGCUAGCUGGACCACUAGCUGUCUGGCUGCUGACGGUGAAGGUUAACUGACUGACUCCUUUCCUGACAGGCUGACUCAUUUACUCAUUGGCUGACCCUUCAAAUCACUGGGAGACUCCCUGGUUAAGUUUAUGAUUCACUUGCUGAUGUCUUGAUUCACUAUUUGACUCACUGAGUGACUGGCUGACUUACUGGCUAACUCACGAGAUGAGGGGCUGACUCAUUGGCUGACUCCUUGAAUGACUGGAUGACUCACUGUCUAACUGACUGGUUGUUUCACUGACUGGUGACAGGAACAUGUGACUAGCUAGCUGACUAGCUAGCCUGCUAGCUGAUAGAAUGAGUGACUGGUUAACUGGCUGAGUAACCAACUCACUGGCUGGCUGAUUAACUAACUGACUGGCGAUGGCAGUGGCUGAUUGGCUGGCUCACUGAUUCAUUAGUUGUUUUGCUUUCUGUCUAUCUGGCUGGCUGGCUGCGACGUCACCCUCACCGGCUCGACCUUGCCUCGUGCCGCUGCCGACCCUUCGAGCGUCAACAGCGAGAUGUGGACACACGCAGUGGCAGGGAUGUGGGAGGAAGCAAGGCCUUCAGUGACUGGCAGAACUAACCGGAGAAAGCAACAUGCAGGACUAACAUUUGGACCCUACUAGGAGCUUCAACCUGUGACAUAAGUCCGCGAUAAGUUACAAAUUAUAAAAAAAAAAUCAA